UCCAUCUCAUUAAAGUGCAGAAAACAUAUUAUGGGCAAUAAGAGGAAGGCAACAUAAAGCCAGACAGAAAAUGUUUAAGAGGAUAUUGCUGGGAAGAGAUGAUUAUGUAUUUGGCUAGAAUCCUGGUGCUGGAUGUAAAGAGAAGUAGAGAAAUGAAGAUUUCAGAGGUGUCCAAACAAGAAAGAUAAAGAAAGGUUGAAGAAUU
rnacentral:lncRNA from 10 species